rnacentral:sRNA from 1 species
GCUGGGUGUGGUGGCACACGCCUGUAAUCCCAGUGACUUGGGAGGCUGAGGCAGGAGGAUUGUGAGUUCAAAGCCAGCCUCAG